AACGAACGCUGGCGGCAUGCCUAACACAUGCAAGUCGAACGAGACCUUCGGGUCUAGUGGCGCACGGGUGCGUAACGCGUGGGAACCUGCCCUUAGGUUCGGAAUCACUCCCCGAAAGGUGUGCUAAUACCGGAUAAUGUCUUCGGACCAAAGAUUUAUCGCCUUUGGAUGGGCCCGCGUUGGAUUAGCUAGUUGGUAGGGUAAUAGCCUACCAAGGCGACGAUCCAUAGCUGGUCUGAGAGGAUGAUCAGCCACACUGGGAAUGAGACACGGCCCAGACUCCUACGGGAGGGAGGAGUGGGGAAUAUUGGACAAUGGGCGAAAGUCUGAUCCAGCAAUGCCGCGUGAGUGAUGAAGGCCUUAGGGUUGUAAAGCUCUUUUACACGGGAUGAUAAUGACAGUACCGGGAGAAUAAGCACCGGCUAACUCCGUG
rnacentral:rRNA from 1 species